UACAGAGGUGGCAAGCGUUGCUCGGUAUCACUGGGCUUAAAGGGCGCGUAGGCGGUGCGGUGCGGUUUCGGUGAAAUCCCUCGGCCCAACCGAGGAACAGCCGGAGCAACGGCCGCGCUAGACGGCAUCAGGGGACAGUGGAACUCCCGGUGGAGCGGUGAAAUGCGUAGAGAUGUGGAGGAACACCAAUGGCGAAGGCAGCCUCUGGGCCAACACUGACGCUCAUGCACGAAAGCGUGGGGGAGCAAACAGG
rnacentral:rRNA from 1 species